GUGCCAGCAGCCGCGGUAAUACGGAGGGUGCGAGCGUUAAUCGGAAUUACUGGGCGUAAAGCGCAUGCAGGUGGUCUGUUAAGUCAGAUGUGAAAGCCCCGGGCUCAACCCGGGAAUAGCAUUUGAAACUGGCAGGCUAGAGUACUGUAGAGGGGGGUAGAAUUUCAGGUGUAGCGGUGAAAUGCGUAGAGAUCUGAAGGAAUACCAGUGGCGAAGGCGGCCCCCUGGACAGAUACUGACACUCAGAUGCGAAAGCGUGGGGAGCAAACAGGAUUAGAUACCCUGGUAGUCC
rnacentral:rRNA from 1 species